GGGAAGGAUUCAAUUUAUAGGACUAAAAGGUUAGUUAAGAGAAAGUGAAAGUAAAGUGGCUGAGAAAACUUUUACUUUUGCAUUGAGGGAGCGUAGCAGAAAGCUGUCAACUGUUCACUUGUUAGCAAGAGGCGAAAAUAAGCUAACAAUAGAUUACCUGGAUAACUGCUCAGCCACUUCUGGGAUUAUGAGUGAGCUUGUGGUACAGUGUCCCCGUUGCCAGCAGAGGAGUGGUAAGAAAAUUGAUGGUCACCGGUCAACGUGUCCCCUCUGCUCCACGACACUACGGCGUGUGUACCAGUUCUGCUGGGCCUGCAGGCGAGACUGGCCCCAGGGGGUGACUGGGGGCAGCUCCUGCACUCUUCCAGGGUGCGCAAUCCGAGCUGCUCUCCUCUCCAACGAGACCAUCACUGCCGAUCGGAGCUCUGUCCACGGAUGUCCCUUCUUUCGGGCCUGUCCGAGCUGCAAAGCCCUUCUGACUCACACUGGUCAGGGCUGUCGAAACAUUGUGUGCCCACAUUGCCGUACUGCAUUCUGCUACCGCUGCCUGAAGAGAACGCCAUGUCGUGCCUGCACUAUGGUAGAUAACAGUGCAUCUCUUUAGCUUUAGGGCUCUAAGGGCUCAGAGUGGUAAGGAAAACUGAAAUCUGAAAAUAAUGCUAAGGGUUUAUUUUCAUUUGAAUGUCAUAUUCUGCUUUUAUGUUAGUAACUUUCUUAUGAUGUGCUUAUCUGUACAAUAUCAGACUCCAGCAUUGAACGUGCACCAUAAAAGCAAAUGUAAGUCUGUAAGUCAAAGAAAAAAUGAUACUGUUUUUUUUUUUUUUAAUUAACGCUCUGAUCCAACUACACCAGUGUAUCCAUAUAGUCCUGCUGUCUGUUUCCCAAUUAUCCCCAUUAAAAAGCCUGCCGAUUCAAAAAUA